rnacentral:tRNA from 1 species
GCCAGUAGGAUGGAUAUGACCCACGGCUUGAAACCGAGUGGGUUCGGGUUCGAAUCCCGAGUAAGGCA